GUGCCUGCGCGCCGUUGCGCCCCUGCGGCCGUGCGGAGCGUCCGGCGGAGCGGUGCGGCGCGACUAACAGCGCCGAGCGGGAGGAAACGCUCAGCAUCCGCGCGCAUCCCUGUGAGACUCCACGAGGGACCACAAACCCAGGCAGCCACGGCCGUGCUGGGGAACGAGGCAGAGCAUUUCCCACCUGCUCAGCUGCAGCGAGGAUGCCUCGAUGCCGAUGAGGAAGCGGCAGCAAAACGCGAGUAGUGGCUGGAACCUCAUCUGUACCGCAGCUCCUGCCAGCACAGCUGUACCACUGACAGCAGCGGAACAUUUUGCUCAAGUUCUCUAGAGGAAUCAAAGCCUGUAUUUUCUGUCUCUGGCUCUCUCUCUUGUUCUGUUGUUCCUCGUUCUUUAGAAAAAAAAAUAAAUCAGCCACAUGCAGCACGUGGCUGCUCGCUGUGUUUGGGGAAAAAAAAAUGCUUGAGGGAAGGAAAAAAAACAGCCCAAGCUGUUUUGAAAUCAGUAGCAUGUAAACAGUACCUGGAACUGAGGGGAACAAUGAUAUUAAUUAAUACUUUAGUGUCAUAAAUAUGUGCAUCGCUGCCUGCUGUUUCAAUAUGAGACAACACAACUUCUGUGAUGGAGCUUGGAGAGUGUUUGGGGAAUGGCACCACUAAUGCCUCCUCCAGCUCUUAUGUAACCGACAUCACAAGUCAGAGCCCAAAUUGCAAAGCAUAAGCAUGUGCAUCAUAUUAAGCAUGUAAACAGUGCCUUAAAUUACUGUCCUUUUACUGAUGGUCUGGCUUUAAUCUACUGCUAUUUUUAGUUCCUCAGUUCCGUUCAUUUCAAUAGGUGGUGGUGCCAUGAAUAGCAGAGCCAAGCGUCUCCCCUUCAACCAUGAAAAUGUUCAUUCAAACUGAAAUAAAUUCAGCCCAAACUGCUUUGGUUACAGGUAAAUAUAGUCUGAAUGACUUGUACACCAGGCCUACAGCAUAUCCAGUAGUAUGAUCCUAUAGAAAGCCAGGAUACAACGCUGCUGUGCUUUGCACAUCACCCAGCAUGGCUGGGUUUUUCACACCUGUCCAAGGCACAGCUUAGCAGUGCUCUUCCUUUGUGUUCUGCCUCCUUCCUACAGAACAUAUUCCCCAUUUGCACGCAGAUCUCCCGACUGGAGUUUUAAGGUGUUAGGUGCUGAUGUUGUGAGCACCUCUUGUAUCUGUUUAAUCCAAUAACAGAACUCGUCUUUAAUCUCCACGUCUGGGUCACAGGUUUUAAAAAAGACACUGGGCCAAAUCCCCAGCUUGGCUCCGGCGUGUGGAAAUCUACUGAGAUGGCACAGAAGUCGGGAGAGAUUCGCUGUGUCUGCACCAUGGGAAGGAGAUCUCAAGGGGCAGUGAUGGGACUGCCUCAUUUCGCACAUGGAUGCGUAUUAACGCAAGCGUAUGGCAGAGGUAGAUCAUGUUUCUAUCAUGUGAGGGGGAUGGAGGGGAGAUAUCACUCCAGGAUCUCAGAUACGCUCAUCAGCAAACCUUGAAAAUUGAAGUGGAUUUCCUUUUUAAGGGAAAAAAACCUUGUUUCUUCUCAUCCUGUGCCUGCUCAGGGGAAUGUAACUCAGGACCAAGGCAAGAACAAGAGACAGGUUUUGCAAGGAUUGGAAAGAUUUUACAUAUAAAGAUUAAAAUUAAAAAAGCGCAAAAUUUAUUCCAGGCAGAACUCUAAGAGCACUCACUAUCUGUAAAGAAGGACGGAGGUAAGAAUGGUAAAAAGAUGCUCUGAGUAAGCCCAGUGCAUUAACAAGUCUCCAAACAAAGAUUUCCUGUAUAAAUACCCCUAUAGAAGGGCAGCCUUCGGGGUUCCUCUGUAUGGCAAAGGACCAUGAGCUUGAAAAAAGGGUAGCAGAUUUGGUGGGGGAUUUAAGCAUCAUGCAGUGACUCCGCAUUGCAGAUUUUAAGCAUUACUGAACCAGGGAAUAGAAUUGUUUCUAUUGCUAUUAUGUACUGGGAUAUUUCACUAAUCCAUGCAAUCCACUCAGUUGUUGCAGUUUUAGUUUGUAUUUGUUUUAGAUGAAAUUAAAGCCUGGGCAUUUAA